GUGAGGAAUAUUGGUCAAUGGGCGGAAGCCUGAACCAGCCAUGCCGCGUGCAGGACGACGGCCCUACGGGUUGUAAACUGCUUUUCCGGGGGAAGAAUAACCCCCCUGCGGGGGGGGAUGCCGGUACCCCGGGAAUAAGGAUCGGCUAACUCCGUGCCAGCAGCCGCGGUAAUACGGAGGAUCCUAGCGUUAUCCGGAUUUACUGGGUUUAAAGGGUGCGUAGGCGGGCGCUUAAGUCCGCGGUGAAAGUCUGCGGCUCAACCGUAGGAGUGCCGUGGAUACUGGGGCUCUGGGAUUCGGUCGGGGCGGGCGGAAUGCGUGGGGUAGCGGUGAAAUGCAUAGAUAUCACGCAGAACGCCGAUAGCGAAGGCAGCUCGCCGGGCCGACAUCGACGCUGAGGCACGAAAGCGUGGGGAUCAAACA
rnacentral:rRNA from 1 species